rnacentral:rRNA from 1 species
GAGAACUUAGCAGAGAUGCUUUGGUGCCUUCGGGAACUCUGAGACAGGUGCUGCAUGGCUGUCGUCAGCUCGUGUUGUGAAAUGUUGGGUUAAGUCCCGCAACGAGCGCAACCCUUAUCCUUUGUUGCCAGCGGCUCGGCCGGGAACUCAAAGGAGACUGCCGGUGAUAAACCGGAGGAAGGUGGGGAUGACGUCAAGUCAUCAUGGCCCUUACGGCCAGGGCUACACACGUGCUACAAUGGCGCAUACAAAGAGAAGCGACCUCGCGAGAGCAAGCGGACCUCAUAAAGUGCGUCGUAGUCCGGAUUGGAGUCUGCAACUCGACUCCAUGAAGUCGGAAUCGCUAGUAAUCGUAGAUCAGAAUGCUACGGUGAAUACGUUCCCGGGCCUUGUACACACCGCCCGUCACACCAUGGGAGUGGGUUGCAAAAGAAGUAGGUAGCUUAACCUUCGGGAGGGCGCUUACCACUUUGUGAUUCAUGACUGGGGUGAAGUCGUAACAAGGUAAGCGUAGCGAG